rnacentral:rRNA from 1 species
CACGUAGGCACCAAGCGUUGUCCGGAUUUAUUGGGCGUAAAGAGCUCGUAGGCGGUUCGGUAAGUCGGGUGUGAAAACUUUGGGCUCAACCCAAAGCCUGCACUCGAUACUGCUGUGACUUGAGUCCGGUAGGGGAGUGGGGAAUUCCUGGUGUAGCGGUGGAAUGCGCAGAUAUCAGGAGGAACACCAAUGGCGAAGGCAGCUCGCUGGGACGGUACUGACGCUGAGGCGCGAAAGCGUGGGGAGCAAACAGG